rnacentral:rRNA from 1 species
UACAGAGGUCUCAAGCGUUGUUCGGAUUCAUUGGGCGUAAAGGGUGCGUAGGCGGCUCGGUAAGUCGGGUGUGAAAUUUCGAGGCUUAACUUCGAAACUGCAUUCGAUACUGCCGUGCUUGAGGACUGGAGAGGAGACUGGAAUUUACGGUGUAGCGGUGUAAUGCGUAGAUAUCGUAAGGAAGACCAGUGGCGAAGGCGGGUCUCUGGACAGUUCCUGACGCUGAGGCACGAAGGCCAGGGGAGCAAACGGG